GCGCCCGCCUCGGGCUCCGCUGCCCAGGCGGGGCCGCGCAGUAAAGCGGAGCGAGGGGGCGGGGCCUCGGCACCUCCUCCAUCCCUGGCUGCGGACCGCAGGGAUGUUCCCCGCUCAGGAGGAGGCUGACAGGACCGUGUUUGUGGGCAAUUUAGAGGCCCGAGUGCGGGAAGAGAUUCUUUACGAGCUGUUCCUUCAGGCUGGGCCACUAACCAAAGUGACUCUUUGCAAAGACAGAGAUGGAAAACCAAAGUCCUUUGGCUUUGUUUGCUUCAAGCAUCCCGAGUCUGUGUCUUAUGCCAUAGCUUUGCUGAAUGGAAUUCGUUUGUAUGGGAGACCAAUUAACGUGCAGUAUCGAUUUGGGAGUUCUCGCUCUUCUGAACCAGCUACCCAAAGUUUUGAGAGCUGUGCGAAGAUCAACUCACACAGCUUCAGAAACGAAGAACUGGUGGGCAGGCCUUCCUUUCCCGUGCCAUUUUUCCCAAUGACGAGUGCCGCCUUACCUCAAGAAUAUUUUUUCUUUCAAAAAAUGGUGCAAAGAAUUUUAACCUCAGGACCAUCAGCCUUGAGAGCCCGCACUGGAGGGUUGUGCUUUGUUUUCUAGCACACUGAGCAGCAUCCCAGCCUCUACCCACUCUACUCUUACAGCAGGAUCUCCUUUCAUACUCUCAUGAUGAGACUAUCUAUUGGGCCAUUUGGAAGAUGUUCUGAACUCUGAGGAGCUUUUUGCUCAAAAUAUUGAAGCAAACUCACAGGAGGUCAGCACUUACUCGUUGCAUUCAAUAUUUAUUGGACUACUGGGUGUAAGGGCACCACCCACUACAGGUAGUGGAAAAGAAGUGAAGAUCAGCAAAGAUUCGAGAUCCACAAGCAUUGUACAGCUAGCAGUACCAGCAAGCCAAGCUCUGUCUCUGCCAUGGAGUUCUAUUUAGACCCUCCAAACAUCACAUGUCCUCCAAGUGCCUUGCUUCUGCACUUGCAUUCCAUCAGCCUGGGUCCUUGGAAGUGGCACCAAACUGCAGUACAUCACCAGAAGCUUUUCCAACAAAUGCAGCUCAACUCCACGAUUUAAGAAAGUGUCAGUAAAUAUUUGCUGGAGUCUUAUGGGCAGGACGGCUGACACCUGCUGUCACCUGACAGCUUGCACCCUCAAAGCUCACAAGAAUAUCUACAGACACUAGCUGGGGACAGAGGCUCUGAUCAAGAUCAAGCAAUUACAUGAACAAAGAACUGUCUCUGGGAAAAGCAGCUUGAAUAAAAAUAGCAAUUCAAAA